rnacentral:lncRNA from 1 species
UAAUCCUGUAGUGUCCAAUCCAGAGCAUGGAGAAUCUGUAUCACCUCUUCCUGCUUCAGAACACUGAAAAGCCGAUCUAGCAGAAUUUUAAGGCGCACAGGAAUAGCUUGGGUUCCAUACAGCAUGAGGCUACUGAUAUCAAAGACAACAUUGGAUUGAACUAUUUCCACCUGGCUUGAUGGAUAGAGGUUGGGAAUCCUUAGUUUGCUCAGGGCAUGUGCUACCCAUCCAUGCCGGCACUGGUCACAUUGUCGUUGAUUUAUUUUCCCGGGUUUGAAACACUGACAACUACAGCUCACCAGAGUGCAUCGGAUAGCCUCAGACAUUCUUACUGUGCUUAUGUUUCCAGAGCUAUAAAACAGUUUCCCAUUCC